rnacentral:tRNA from 1 species
UCCCUGGUGGCUCCGAGGGUAAAGCGCCUGCUUGCAAUGCAGGAGACCCGGGUUCGACCCUUGGUUUGGAAA